GGAGGAAAGCAGGGGAUCGCAAGACCUCGCGCUAUUAGAGUGGCCGAUGUCCGAUUAGCUAGUUGGUGGGGUAAUGGCCCACCAAGGCAACGAUCGGUAGCUGGUCUGAGAGGAUGAUCAGCCACACUGGGACUGAGACACGGCCCAGACUCCUACGGGAGGCAGCAGUGGGGAAUUUUGGACAAUGGGCGCAAGCCUGAUCCAGCCAUGCCGCGUGAGUGAAGAAGGCCUUCGGGUUGUAAAGCUCUUUCGGCCGGAACGAAAUCGUCCGAGCUAAUACCUCGGAUGGAUGACGGUACUGGAAGAAGAAGCACCGGCUAACUACGUGCCAGCAGCCGCGGUAAUACGUAGGGUGCAGGCGUUAAUCGGAAUUACUGGGCGUAAAGCGUGCGCAGGCGGCUUCCUAAGUCAGAUGUGAAAUCCCCGGGCUUAACCUGGGAACUGCGUUUGAAACUACAAAGCUAG
rnacentral:rRNA from 1 species